rnacentral:lncRNA from 12 species
GUCAUUUCAAUGGAAAUUAAAAGUUUAAAUAAGUCCAGUUCUUCAUAUUCAGCUGAUGUGAUGUGACCUGUGAGUAUUGAGCACAAAAAUGUAAAAUCAUACCUUGUUUUAAAGGAUUAGAACAAAUAUCUCACUAUUAUCAUUAUUCAUGUCUACCUGUUCCCUGGAGAACUCAAGCUGUAAGUGUAACUCAAGUGCAUGUCUUCUCCGUCAUUUCAUCAUUUGUGGAGGGAUUUUAAAAGACAUGGACUUGUGGUACAUGAGGACAUAGGCUAGGAGAAAGUUUGGCAGUGCUGGGUGAAUCGUUGGACUUGAUGAUUUCAAAGGUCUUUUUCAACCUGAAUGACUUUUAAAUUCUAUCAAUGGCAACUGAGGGCAGGGCUGGCUGACUGUUAUGACAAAUGUCCCAGGGAGCAAGGUAAAACUGUGAGGAUUGGGCUUCUAAAAUUACCAAAAAUACACUAAACUGGAUUAGGGUCAGAUAGGGGGAGAGGGAAUGGGAGGGGGAAGGGAAAUUUCAGGGAAGGGAAGUUUCAGGGAAGGGAAGUUUCAGGGAAGGGAAGUUUCAGGGAAGGGAAGUUUCAGGGAAGGGAAGUUUCAGGGAAGGGAAGUUUCAGGGAAGGGAAGUUUCAGGGAAGGGAAGUUUCAGGGAAGGGAAGUUUCAGGGAAGGGAAGUUUCAGGGAAGGGAAGUUUCAGGGAAGGGAAGUUUCAGGGAAGGGAAGUUUCAGGGAAGGGAAGUUUCAGGGAAGGGAAGUUUCAGGGAAGGGAAGUUUCAGGGAAGGGAAGUUUCAGGGAAGGGAAGUUUCAGGGAAGGGAAGUUUCAGGGAAGGGAAGUUUCAGGGAAGGGAAGUUUCAGGGAAGGGAAGUUUCAGGGAAGGGAAGUUUCAGGGAAGGGAAGUUUCAGGGAAGGGAAGUUUCAGGGAAGGGAAGUUUCAGGGAAGGGAAGUUUCAGGGAAGGGAAGUUUCAGGGAAGGGAAGUUUCAGGGAAGGGAAGUUUCAGGGAAGGGAAGUUUCAGGGAAGGGAAGUUUCAGGGAAGGGAAGUUUCAGGGAAGGGAAGUUUCAGGGAAGGGAAGUUUCAGGGAAGGGAAGUUUCAGGGAAGGGAAGUUUCAGGGAAGGGAAGUUUCAGGGAAGGGAAGUUUCAGGGAAGGGAAGUUUCAGGGAAGGGAAGUUUCAGGGAAGGGAAGUUUCAGGGAAGGGAAGUUUCAGGGAAGGGAAGUUUCAGGGAAGGGAAGUUUCAGGGAAGGGAAGUUUCAGGGAAGGGAAGUUUCAGGGAAGGGAAGUUUCAGGGAAGGGAAGUUUCAGGGAAGGGAAGUUUCAGGGAAGGGAAGUUUCAGGGAAGGGAAGUUUCAGGGAAGGGAAGUUUCAGGGAAGGGAAGUUUCAGGGAAGGGAAGUUUCAGGGAAGGGAAGUUUCAGGGAAGGGAAGUUUCAGGGAAGGGAAGUUUCAGGGAAGGGAAGUUUCAGGGAAGGGAAGUUUCAGGGAAGGGAAGUUUCAGGGAAGGGAAGUUUCAGGGAAGGGAAGUUUCAGGGAAGGGAAGUUUCAGGGAAGGGAAGUUUCAGGGAAGGGAAGUUUCAGGGAAGGGAAGUUUCAGGGAAGGGAAGUUUCAGGGAAGGGAAGUUUCAGGGAAGGGAAGUUUCAGGGAAGGGAAGUUUCAGGGAAGGGAAGUUUCAGGGAAGGGAAGUUUCAGGGAAGGGAAGUUUCAGGGAAGGGAAGUUUCAGGGAAGGGAAGUUUCAGGGAAGGGAAGUUUCAGGGAAGGGAAGUUUCAGGGAAGGGAAGUUUCAGGGAAGGGAAGUUUCAGGGAAGGGAAGUUUCAGGGAAGGGAAGUUUCAGGGAAGGGAAGUUUCAGGGAAGGGAAGUUUCAGGGAAGGGAAGUUUCAGGGAAGGGAAGUUUCAGGGAAGGGAAGUUUCAGGGAAGGGAAGUUUCAGGGAAGGGAAGUUUCAGGGAAGGGAAGUUUCAGGGAAGGGAAGUUUCAGGGAAGGGAAGUUUCAGGGAAGGGAAGUUUCAGGGAAGGGAAGUUUCAGGGAAGGGAAGUUUCAGGGAAGGGAAGUUUCAGGGAAGGGAAGUUUCAGGGAAGGGAAGUUUCAGGGAAGGGAAGUUUCAGGGAAGGGAAGUUUCAGGGAAGGGAAGUUUCAGGGAAGGGAAGUUUCAGGGAAGGGAAGUUUCAGGGAAGGGAAGUUUCAGGGAAGGGAAGUUUCAGGGAAGGGAAGUUUCAGGGAAGGGAAGUUUCAGGGAAGGGAAGUUUCAGGGAAGGGAAGUUUCAGGGAAGGGAAGUUUCAGGGAAGGGAAGUUUCAGGGAAGGGAAGUUUCAGGGAAGGGAAGUUUCAGGGAAGGGAAGUUUCAGGGAAGGGAAGUUUCAGGGAAGGGAAGUUUCAGGGAAGGGAAGUUUCAGGGAAGGGAAGUUUCAGGGAAGGGAAGUUUCAGGGAAGGGAAGUUUCAGGGAAGGGAAGUUUCAGGGAAGGGAAGUUUCAGGGAAGGGAAGUUUCAGGGAAGGGAAGUUUCAGGGAAGGGAAGUUUCAGGGAAGGGAAGUUUCAGGGAAGGGAAGUUUCAGGGAAGGGAAGUUUCAGGGAAGGGAAGUUUCAGGGAAGGGAAGUUUCAGGGAAGGGAAGUUUCAGGGAAGGGAAGUUUCAGGGAAGGGAAGUUUCAGGGAAGGGAAGUUUCAGGGAAGGGAAGUUUCAGGGAAGGGAAGUUUCAGGGAAGGGAAGUUUCAGGGAAGGGAAGUUUCAGGGAAGGGAAGUUUCAGGGAAGGGAAGUUUCAGGGAAGGGAAGUUUCAGGGAAGGGAAGUUUCAGGGAAGGGAAGUUUCAGGGAAGGGAAGUUUCAGGGAAGGGAAGUUUCAGGGAAGGGAAGUUUCAGGGAAGGGAAGUUUCAGGGAAGGGAAGUUUCAGGGAAGGGAAGUUUCAGGGAAGGGAAGUUUCAGGGAAGGGAAGUUUCAGGGAAGGGAAGUUUCAGGGAAGGGAAGUUUCAGGGAAGGGAAGUUUCAGGGAAGGGAAGUUUCAGGGAAGGGAAGUUUCAGGGAAGGGAAGUUUCAGGGAAGGGAAGUUUCAGGGAAGGGAAGUUUCAGGGAAGGGAAGUUUCAGGGAAGGGAAGUUUCAGGGAAGGGAAGUUUCAGGGAAGGGAAGUUUCAGGGAAGGGAAGGGAAGGGAAGGGAAGAGCUCUUUUCUAAAACUCCAUUCUUAUCUAUUUUUAAAGGAUAACCCUGUGCUAACCACCCCUCCACUGUGGCUCUGAAAACCUGACCACCACUGUGGUAUU